GCUGCCUAAGACUCAGGAUGGUACAGGUAGCUGCUUCUUUUGUUGGUUGCAUCUCUACAAGAAAAAAGCCACAACUCAAACCGCACUGCGAUGUGUUCUCUGUGGCUUCUCUGGAAGCUCUCUCCCAAGUCACUGGGUGGAUGACAAGGUAUCACUGACUUCAGGCCUCCUCCUGCUGUGCAGAAGUACCAUGCCUGUGAUGCAA
rnacentral:lncRNA from 1 species